UAGUGACCCCUGGCCUGCAGAAAAAAUAGCUUCUUCAUCUUCUCCUUGAGCUUCUUAGCCCAAGAAGGUUCUCAAGUGGCGGGCAUAGCACGAGAAGUAGUGUCAUCGCCAGCCACAAAAAUGCUCAUCGACUUCUUCAUCAGCAGUAUCCUCAUCCAUGUCUUCUGGCACAUCAUGCUCGGGGGCAAUCUGAGUAGCCCACUUGUCC
rnacentral:lncRNA from 1 species